UGAGCAUGGACCGUACAGGGGCUCCAUGUGCAAGAAACUACCCGUGUGUAAAACGAAGAUUGGCUUUAAAAGGCAACUGUGAUGGGAACAGUGUCUUAGGGAGAUGCAGCUUGGACUUGAGGUAAAUUGAAUGCUUUACAAAAAUGUGGUUUUGAGCUUGCAUUGACAUUGUAUGUAAUAUGGGUACACAUUAACUGUAUGAUGGCUUUUGUAUGGUUUUUUUUUCUCAAUAAAUGUAAACUGAUGGAUAAUAA